AGCGAACGCUGGCGGCAGGCCUAACACAUGCAGGUCGAACGAAGUCUUCGGACUUAGUGGCGGACGGGUGAGUAACACGUGGGAACGUGCCUUUAGGUUCGGAAUAACUCAGGGAAACUUGUGCUAAUACCGAAUGUGCCCUUCGGGGGAAAGAUUUAUCGCCUUUAGAGCGGCCCGCGUCUGAUUAGCUAGUUGGUGAGGUAAAGGCUCACCAAGGCGACGAGCAGUAGCUGGUCUGAGAGGAUGAUCAGCAACAUUGGGACUGAGACACUGCCCAAACUCCUACGGGAGGCAGCAGUGGGGAAUCUUGCGCAAUGGGCGAAAGCCUGACGCAGCCAUGCCGCGUGAAUGAUGAAGGUCUUAGGAUUGUAAAAUUCUUUCACCGGGGACGAUAAUGACGGUACCCGGAGAAGAAGCCCCGGCUAACUUCGUGCCAGCCGCCGCUGUAAGAC
rnacentral:rRNA from 1 species